CAGGGGCUCAGCUGCACACCAGAGCACCAGGAAUCCAUGCAAGGUAGAAACUUGGCUUCUCUUACAGGGCAGACUGGUAUACGACUAAUUCAACUCAGAGCUUUUGCUUCCUGCUCUUGCUUGGCCUUGAAGAUUUCUGCUUCUCCUUUGGACCUGAAGAACAGCUGAUGCUUCUUUGGUUUUCUUCACUUUCCUUUUCCCACCUAUUGUAGUUAUCAGAACUAGACAUAUAAGAAGAUGGAAGAGAGAGACUGGCAAUAGCUCCUGGGGCUCCUCUGCUAAGUUUGUGCCUCCUUGUUUUCUAAUGAGGUUGAUUCUUUAUAUCAGAAGCAGUCAUUGGCAAAGCCCAGAUGGAAGCCUGCUACUCAAUCCUCCGUGGUCACUCCAACCAGAGGAAACAAGUCAUUUCUUCAGGUGUAGCCUUGCUAUCAUUAACAUAAGAUUAUUCAUCUGCUGGAGAUUGUGCUUGAGGUCGGCUGGAAAAUGAUUGUGAGUUCCUAUCAGCUUCAGGGAAAGGAAGAAGAAAUCCAAGUGAAACAACGCUCUUAAACUAAAGCUAAAUUGAUGAAAGACAAACUCUGAAAAUCUAAAAGCUCCUUAAAAUUGUGAAUUAAAUGGGGCCUCAGGGAUGGGAUGUUCCUUGGAGGAGCUGCUUUGGAACUGUCUUCCUGGGUUUUCAUUCUUGCAAGGCAAUAGAAGUUAUUUUCACUCAGGUAGAUGAUUUUGAAUACUGUGAUUGUUGUGGCCAUUUCCAUAUAGCAUUAGGAGAAAGUUCUGAAAAUUCAGUUAGGUUUUAGGAAUUUAAUUGAUCUUAAGCCCUGUUUUCAACACACUGUAGAAAGCCUGGCUUUCCUUGACUCCUCAGGAUAAGAUAAAGGGUAUUUAAGUGCUCGACCUUUACUGAUAUUACUGGGUUACAGAUAGGAAAUCGGCUAUGCCGAUGCCCCAUUUAGUGCCUAGACUGCUUUUGAAAAUGGUACGUAGGUUCCUAAAUCCCUGUAAGCAUAGCACAUAGUACGGAUGUUAUGGGAAGCGACUCUUUUCUUACAGAACUGGUUUUGAUGAAAGGUCCACUCCAGCCAACUUUUUGUUGCUGUUUGAUGAAAGAAGAAAAUAGAAAAGCCAUUAGAGGUGCCAGUCACAAAAAGGGCAAAAUAAAAUUUCAACUCUUUUUGGAGAAGGGGAAAAUGGAAAACGUUGGGGACAGGGAGGGACACCUUGCCUAUGUUUCAUGGAAAAUGUUUGCUGUCGAUGUCGAUAUCUUUCUCAAAAGUGAACCCCAGCAAUGGCUGACCAAGGAAUGUAAAGGGAGAAAUGCUCAGAGUCAGGGAGCAGAGUAAUAGAGCACAGGUUUGUUCUAUAACAAAUUCCAGCGCUUGUGUGACUUUUUAGACAUAUGGAAGUCCAUUUAGGAGGCAAAUUGGUUGCAGCCGCCGAUUCAGAACCUAUUGGAAUCAGUGGAAACAUUUCCAUUGUCUUCUGUCCUGGAGAAAUGCUGUUUCUGUCCUUCCUUCCAUCCCUAGCCCGUGCUCUCUCUGUGAGCCAUAUGGAAUUCAUCUCCAUCCAAGACAUGUAAGGGAAGAGGCUUCGGCUGUUUAACUGCAUGAUGUAGCUAUGUGGACAGGAAUGGUUGAUUUCUACUUGAUUGGCCACAAAUCAGGUAACCACCGCCUCGAGUCGGAGCUGCUGGCUUUGCAGGAGCUAUCUGGGUGCUCCUCCUCUUCCUAUGGCAGGGCUGAGCGUGGCUUUAAUCACCUCAACACGCUUGGAGGAAUGGAGGGUCUGUGUUUCGACAACCUUUGGAUUUCUUUAUUGAGCAAGGAAAGAGGGAUGCUCACAAGCACUCCCAUUUCUUAUAGAAUAUUCCUUGCCCAACUGCAUGAUGAAGACAGAAGUGCAGACAUCAGGCUGAGGACAGAGGGCUCCAGCUCAGUUUCUUCACCCGUUAUAGAAUCAUAGAAUGGCUUGGGUUGGAAGAGACCUCAAGGAUCGUCAAGCUCCCUGUUCUCUUCCUUCCCUCUCCUUCACAUUUGCCUCUCUGAUGCUCCGGGUCCCUUGAGGUGUGACCCCCUGUCUCCUCCUCCAGUUGGUGGUGGCGAUCCCAGGGCCACCAUCACCUCCAGAAGUGCCAACAAGAAAACCUUCCCUGACAGUGCUGUGCUAUCAGUGGCUCUGUCCCCCUCUCUGCUGAGCAGUAAGUUUCGCAGCAAUCUUCUCCGAGCAUUCUGGACAAUGAAUGUGUUUCUUGCCAUGUAAAUAAAUUAUCCACUUU
ensembl:lncRNA